UAGGGAAUCUUCCGCAAUGGACGAAAGUCUGACGGAGCAACGCCGCGUGAGUGAAGAAGGAUUUCGGUUCGUAAAACUCUGUUGUUAGGGAAGAAAAAAUGUAUAGUAACUAUAUACAAAAGAGACGGUACCUAACCAGAAAGCCACGGCUAACUACGUGCCAGCAGCCGCGGUAAUACGUAGGGGGCUAGCGUUGUCCGGAAUCACUGGGCGUAAAGGGUUCGCAGGCGGAAAUGCAAGUCAGGUGUAAAAGGCAGUAGCUUAACUACUGUAAGCAUUUGAAACUGCAUAUCUUGAGAAGAGUAGAGGUAAGUGGAAUUUUUAGUGUAGCGGUGAAAUGCGUAGAUAUUAAAAAGAAUACCGGUGGCGAAGGCGACUGACUGGGCUCAUUCUGACGCUGAGGAACGAAAGCGUGGGUAGCAAACAGG
rnacentral:rRNA from 1 species